AUUGAACGCUGGCGGAAUGCUUUACACAUGCAAGUCGAACGGCAGCACGGGGGCAACCCUGGUGGCAAGUGGCGAACGGGUGAGUAAUACAUCGGAACGUGCCCGGUCGUGGGGGAUAACGUAGCGAAAGUUACGCUAAUACCGCAUACGAUCUGAGGAUGAAAGCGGGGGACCUUCGGGCCUCGCGCGAUCGGAGCGGCCGAUGUCAGAUUAGGUAGUUGGUGGGGUAAAGGCCUACCAAGCCGACGAUCUGUAGCUGGUCUGAGAGGACGACCAGCCACACUGGGACUGAGACACGGCCCAGACUCCUACGGGAGGCAGCAGUGGGGAAUUUUGGACAAUGGGCGCAAGCCUGAUCCAGCCAUUCCGCGUGCAGGACGAAGGCCUUCGGGUUGUAAACUGCUUUUGUAUGGAACGAAAAGGCUCUGGCUAAUACCUGGGGCUCAUGACGGUACCGUAAGAAUAAGCACCGGCUAACUACGUG
rnacentral:rRNA from 1 species